rnacentral:rRNA from 1 species
AUUGAACGCUGGCGGCAGGCUUAACACAUGCAAGUCGAGCGGUAGCACAGGGGAGCUUGCUCCCUGGGUGACGAGCGGCGGACGGGUGAGUAAUGUCUGGGAAACUGCCUGAUGGAGGGGGAUAACUACUGGAAACGGUAGCUAAUACCGCAUAACGUCGCAAGACCAAAGAGGGGGACCUUCGGGCCUCUUGCCAUCAGAUGUGCCCAGAUGGGAUUAGCUAGUAGGUGGGGUAAUGGCUCACCUAGGCGACGAUCCCUAGCUGGUCUGAGAGGAUGACCAGCCACACUGGAACUGAGACACGGUCCAGACUCCUACGGGAGGCAGCAGUGGGGAAUAUUGCACAAUGGGCGCAAGCCUGAUGCAGCCAUGCCGCGUGUGUGAAGAAGGCCUUCGGGUUGUAAAGCACUUUCAGCGAGGAGGAAGGUGGUGAGCUUAAUACGCUCAUCAAUUGACGUUACUCGCAGAAGAAGCACCGGCUAACUCCGUGCCAGCAGCCGCGGUAAUACGGAGAGUGCAAGCGUUAAUCGGAAUUACUGGGCGUAAAGCGCACGCAGGCGGUUUGUUAAGUCAGAUGUGAAAUCCCCGGGCUCAACCUGGGAACUGCAUUUGAAACUGGCAAGCUAGAGUCUCGUAGAGGGGGGUAGAAUUCCAGGUGUAGCGGUGAAAUGCGUAGAGAUCUGGAGGAAUACCGGUGGCGAAGGCGGCCCCCUGGACGAAGACUGACGCUCAGGUGCGAAAGCGUGGGGAGCAAACAGGAUUAGAUACCCUGGUAGUCCACGCUGUAAACGAUGUCGAUUUGGAGGUUGUGCCCUUGAGGCGUGGCUUCCGGAGCUAACGCGUUAAAUCGACCGCCUGGGGAGUACGGCCGCAAGGUUAAAACUCAAAUGAAUUGACGGGGGCCCGCACAAGCGGUGGAGCAUGUGGUUUAAUUCGAUGCAACGCGAAGAACCUUACCUACUCUUGACAUCCAGAGAACUUUCCAGAGAUGGAUUGGUGCCUUCGGGAACUCUGAGACAGGUGCUGCAUGGCUGUCGUCAGCUCGUGUUGUGAAAUGUUGGGUUAAGUCCCGCAACGAGCGCAACCCUUAUCCUUUGUUGCCAGCGGUUCGGCCGGGAACUCAAAGGAGACUGCCAGUGAUAAACUGGAGGAAGGUGGGGAUGACGUCAAGUCAUCAUGGCCCUUACGAGUAGGGCUACACACGUGCUAUAAUGGCGUAUACAAAGAGAAGCGACCUCGCGAGAGCAAGCGGACCUCAUAAAGUAUGUCGUAGUCCGGAUUGGAGUCUGCAACUCGACUCCAUGAAGUCGGAAUCGCUAGUAAUCGUAGAUCAGAAUGCUACGGUGAAUACGUUCCCGGGCCUUGUACACACCGCCCGUCACACCAUGGGAGUGGGUUGCAAAAGAAGUAGGUAGCUUAACCUUCGGGAGGGCGCUUACCACUUUGUGAUUCAUGACUGGGGUGAAGUCGUAACAAGGUAACUGUAGGGGAACC